rnacentral:misc_RNA from 1 species
CCGAAAUUUAAAAACUCACAACGCGAGUCUCGUGCGGAAGCAAAUAUGACUGCCGAGACUAUGUGACUCUUCAAGUCUUCCUUUGCUCAAGUCAAACCUCACUCGUGAAGCACAUGUGACGAGUCUGUGGUGAGCAUCGGGAGCACUGCGUUUCCUUCGGGAUUCACAGUCUAAAAAAACGAAUUGUAAAAAGUAUAUAUAUAAACAAAAAAAAGACGAAAAAAAAAU